UCCGUAGGUGAACCUGCGGUUGGAUCAUUAACAAUGGGUUUUAUACCUUUACACUGUGUGAACUGUAAACGUACUUGGUGAGUUAGUUCUCAUUUGAGGAUUACUUACCACUAUUUUUAACCAUGUUUUAAUUGAGUCUUGAUUUUCUUGUACAAAAAGAAACAACUUUUGACAACGGAUCUCUUGGCUCUCGCAACGAUGAAGAACGCAGCGAAAUGCGAUACGUAAUGUGAAUUGCAGAAUUCAGUGAAUCAUCGAAUCUUUGAACGCAUAUUGCGCUCUUUGGUAUUCCGAAGAGCAUGCCUGUUUGAGUAUCUACUAAUCCUCAACCCACUUGUGGUGUUUGGAAAUGAGUUGUGUCUGUUAGACUAGCUUGAAAUGUAGUGUUGAGAGGGUGACUAGUUGUCUCUUGAGGAAUAGUAAUUGAAUGAGUGAUACUCAGCCUUUUCUUAGUACUUUAGUGAUAAUUUGGAGCCGUGCCUAUUGGUACUCUCAACAGUAAAACCAAAGAGCUUGCUCUGAACCAUGGUCUCAAAUCAGGUAGGAAAACCCGCUGAACUUAAGCAUAUCAAUAAGCGGAGGAAAAGAAACUAACAAGGAUUCCCCUAGUAACGGCGAGUGAAGCGGGAAGAGCUCAAAUUUGAAAUCUCACAGGUUUCCUGUGCGAAUUGUAGUUUAAAGAGUCGUUUUCUGGGGCCACUUGAGCACAAGUUCUUUGGAACAAGGCAUCAUAGAGGGUGAGAAUCCCGUCUUUGGUUCAAGAUGAGCUCCUUUGUGAUACGAUCUCAAAGAGUCGGUUUGCUUGGGAAUGCAGACCAAAAUGGGUGGUAAAUACCAUCUAAAGCUAAAUAUUGGCGAGAGACCGAUAGCGAACAAGUACCGUGAGGGAAAGAUGAAAAGAACUUUGAAAAGAGAGUUAAAUAGUACGUGAAAUUGUCAAAAGGGAAACGCUUGAAGU
rnacentral:rRNA from 1 species